AGUCAAGUAAUUAAGUGCAUGUGGUGGAUGCCUUGGCAGUCAGAGGCGAUGAAAGACGUGAUAGCCUGCGAAAAGCUCCGGGGAGGCGGCAAAUAUCCUUUGAUCCGGAGAUGUCUGAAUGGGGGAACCCACCUACUUUAAGGUAGGUAUUGCAACAUGAAUACAUAGUGUUGCAAGGCGAACGAGGGGAAGUGAAACAUCUCAGUACCCUUAGGAAAAGAAAUCAAUUGAGAUUCCCUCAGUAGCGGCGAGCGAACGGGGAUCAGCCCAUUAAGUUAUGUGUGUUUUAGUGGAACGCUCUGGGAAGUGCGAACGUAGAGGGUGAUAUUCCCGUACACGAAAGGGCACACAUAAUGAUGACGAGUAGGGCGAGGCACGUGAAACCUUGUCUGAAUAUGGGGGGACCAUCCUCCAAGGCUAAAUACUCCUGACUGACCGAUAGUGAACCAGUACCGUGAGGGAAAGGCGAAAAGAACCCCUGUGAGGGGAGUGAAAUAGAUCCUGAAACCGCAUGCAUACAAGCAGUGGGAGCACCUUCGUGGUGUGACUGCGUACCUUUUGUAUAAUGGGUCAGCGACUUAUAUUCAGUAGCAAGGUUAACCGUAUAGGGGAGCCGUAGAGAAAUCGAGUCUUAAUAGGGCGUUUAGUUGCUGGGUAUAGACCCGAAACCAGGCGAUCUAUCCAUGAGCAGGUUGAAGGUUGGGUAACACUAACUGGAGGACCGAACCCACUGUCGUUGAAAAGCCAGGGGAUGACUUGUGGAUAGGGGUGAAAGGCUAAUCAAGCCUGGUGAUAGCUGGUUCUCCCCGAAAGCUAUUUAGGUAGCGCCUCGGACGAAUACCAUAGGGGGUAGAGCACUGUUUCGGCUAGGGGGUCAUCCCGACUUACCAAACCGAUGCAAACUCCGAAUACCUAUGAGUACUAUCCGGGAGACAGACUGCGGGUGCUAACGUCCGUAGUCAAGAGGAAAACAAUCCAGACCGCCAGCUAAGGCCCCAAAAUCAUAGUUAAGUGGGAAACGAUGUGGGAAGGCAUAGACAGCUAGGAGGUUGGCUUAGAAGCAGCCACCCUUUAAAGAAAGCGUAAUAGCUCACUAGUCGAGUCGGCCUGCGCGGAAGAUGUAACGGGGCUAAAACUAUGUGCCGAAGCUGCGGAUGUAUACUUUGUAUACGUGGUAGGGGAGCGUUCUGUAAGCCGAUGAAGGUGUGUUGAGAAGCAUGCUGGAGGUAUCAGAAGUGCGAAUGCUGACGUGAGUAACGACAAAACGGGUGAAAAACCCGUUCGCCGAAAGACCAAGGGUUCCAGUCCAACGUUAAUCGGGGCUGGGUGAGUCGACCCCUAAGGCGAGGCCGAAAGGCGUAGUCGAUGGGAAAAUGGUUAAUAUUCCAUUACUUCUGUGUAAUGCGAUGAGAGGACGGAGAAGGCUAAAUCAGCCUGGCGUUGGUUGUCCAGGUGAAAGGAUGUAGGCAUGUAUCUUAGGCAAAUCCGGGGUACUCUAUGCUGAGAUCUGAUAGCAAGCUGUACUUGUACAGCGAAGUGGUUGAUGCCAUGCUUCCAGGAAAAGUCUCUAAGCUUCAGUUACACAGGAAUCGUACCCGAAACC
rnacentral:rRNA from 1 species